rnacentral:rRNA from 1 species
GACGGGGGGGCAAGUGUUCUUCGGAAUGACUGGGCGUAAAGGGCACGUAGGCGGUGAAUCGGGUUGAAAGUGAAAGUCGCCAAAAAGUGGCGGAAUGCUCUCGAAACCAAUUCACUUGAGUGAGACAGAGGAGAGUGGAAUUUCGUGUGUAGGGGUGAAAUGCGCAGAGUAUCGGGAAGAACACCCGUGGCGAAGGCGGUUCUCUGGGACGGUACUGACGCUGAGACGCGAAAGCGUGGGGAGCGAACAGG